UACGUAGGGGGCGAGCGUUGUCCGGAAUCAUUGGGCGUAAAGCGCACGCAGGCGGCAAGGUAAGUCAGUUGUGAAAUUCCCGAGCUUAACUUGGGGGCUGCAGCUGAUACUGCCCUGCUUGAGUACGGAAGAGGGGAGCGGAACUCCCAGUGUAGAGGUGAAAUUCGUAGAUAUUGGGAGGAACACCGGUGGCGAAGGCGGCUCCCUGGUCCGAUACUGACGCUCAUGUGCGAAAGCGUGGGGAGCAAACGGG
rnacentral:rRNA from 1 species